GAUGAACGCUAGCGGCAGGCCUAAUACAUGCAAGUCGAGCGGUAAGGCUCCUUCGGGAGUACACGAGCGGCGGACGGGUGCGUAACGCGUAUACAACCUACCCUUCAGUGGGGGAUAGCCUGAAGAAAUUCAGAUUAAUACCCUAUGGUAUCAUUGAAUCGCAUGGUUUGAUGAUUAAAACUCCGGUGUUGAAGGAUGGGUAUGCGUGACAUUAGCUAGUUGGUGAGGUAACGGCUCACCAAGGCGACGAUGUCUAGCUGGUCUGAGAGGAUGAUCAGCCACACUGGGACUGAGACACGGCCCAGACUCCUACGGGAGGCAGCAGUAGGGAAUAUUGGACAAUGGACGAAAGUCUGAUCCAGCCAUGCCGCGUGAAGGAAGACGGUUCUCUGAAUUGUAAACUUCUUUUAGCAGGGAAUAAGCCGAUGGUAUACCCAUCGUUGAAGGUACCUGCAGAAUAAGCACCGGCUAACUCCG
rnacentral:rRNA from 1 species